CGCGCGACCGCGAGGGAAAACGCCGCUGCCCGGCAAGGCGCUAGACCCGACCCGUUUCACAAAACACCGCCUCGCGAAACGCUGAGUUGUGAUUCUUGAGGCUUCCCGCGUAUCCACCCGCACAGCACCCAUCCAAAGGAGACACACCUAGAGCCCGUGCUCCACAACAAGAGAAACCACCGCACUGAGAAGCCCGUGCACCACAAUGUAGAGUAGCCCCCGCUCGCCACAAGUAGAGAAAGCCCAUGUGCAGCAGCGAAGACCCAACGCAGCCAAUAAAUAAAUAAAUAAAUAAAUAAUCUGUAAAGAAAAAGAAAAAUUGUAUUAAAAAAGAAAGAAAGAAAGAAAGAGAAAGAAAGGAAGGAAGGAAGGAAGGAAGAAAAAGAAAGAAAGAAAAAGAAAAACAGAUCAUUGUUUCCCCCAGGGCGCUGGGAACAACUGGUAGGACAUUAGCUGCAGAUGGGAUGCAGCCCACAUUUCUGUGCAGUCAUAUUCUUGGGGACCCUCCCAGUGGUUGGCCUCCUGCAGAGGCAAGAAGUGACAAUUUUCACACUUCUCCAGGAGGAAAAUCAAGACAAGCCCCCGGGACACAAAACGAGACAAACAGGAGACAGGAGCUGACAAACAGGAGAGCAAGAUCAGUAACCACUGGGUCCCCCAAACCAAAUUUAACCAGAGUCACAAUCCAAAGAAUUAAUUUUGACAAAUUUUUUUCUCCUGCUAAUCUGCAUUUGAAAAGGAAGGGACAAAGAAAUGUUUUUUACCUUCCUCUGUCAGCUGGGCCCUACAGAUGGAGAUCUGUGAGAAGCGACUUUGGGACCCAGCUAACGUCAUCACCUGGGUGCUCAAGGCAACUCAACUGAGAACAUGACAUCUACACCAAGCGUGGCCCUCUGCUAGCAUCAUCUCCCUCGAGUGGAUGGCACCACCAGCUCCACAAGCCAGAAACCUGGAAGCUCCUCUCCGAAUCCCUCUUUCUAAACCAAGGCUGGAAUAUUUUGCCUCUUACACGACUUUCUGGCCUGCCAUUUCUCCCCAUCUCUAUUGCCACUACCCUUGUCUCAUCUUCCAUCCCCUGUUGCCUGGUUGCUAUGACAGCUUCCUCACCGGAUUUCCCCACUGACUCUCGCCCCACUGUGAUGUUUUCCGUAUGGCACGCAACUGGAAUGGUUUUUUCAAAAUGCCAAUCUGAUUUUGUCAUCCCCUUGCCUAAAGCCCAUCAACCGUUUUCCACUGUCUGCACAAUCUGCUCCUGCCUCUUUGUCCAGACUCAUCUUGUACUGUCUGGGCUCCAGCUCUACUGGUCUUUCAGUCUCUUUAGCGUCCCACCACAGGGCCUUUGCACAUGCAGCUCCCUCUACCAGAGUGAGCGGUCCCUCCCUUGUUGCCUAGGUAACACCUCCUCUUCCUCUGUAUCUUAGUUCCGCUAUCACUUCGUCAAGGAAGCUUUUCUAGAACCUCUACUUACAUGCUCUCAGAGCACUCUGUCCUGUUCCUUUACUGCACUUCUUCCAGUUGUAGUUACACACUUGUUAUUGUGAUUAUUUGAUUAUCCCAUUUGUCUCCUUCCAUAGCCUGUAAGCUCCAGAAGUGUGGGACCACGUCUAUUUUUGUUCUCACCGUGUCCCCAGUGCCUGAUAGAGCAGACCCUUGACAACGAAUAAUGAAAAUGUGAAUGUAACUUCUGAAGACAGGGAAUGGAAAUGCUUCAUUAAACAUUUCAGAGCCUGUGCAACAAACAGAUGCAUAAAGUAUGUGUAUAACUAAGAAUGUGGUGUUAAAGAGAGUUCAUUUAUUCACUCCAAAAUGUUUAAACAUUUGUUGAGUAAUGUGUUAGAGGCGGAGAACCACCAUGGUGACCAAGAUUAAACCUCACCGGCUUUAAAUCACGACAGUAUGGUAGGAUGUUCCAGCUAUGUGCCCUCGGCUUUGAUUUCAUCUAGGCUACCAUCCCACUUGCCCAUUUCAACUCUUUGUUCAUUCUCACUUUGGCAGGGCCACCCCUAGGUCCCAAACAGAUUUGGCUCCUGUCUGUAUAAAUCCUAACUCCCCCUCCUUACUUCUUUAUAGCAUGUAAGCCAUAAAACAUUCUGGUGGCCUGAUCUCACCAUUCCCUGUAAGAAAUACUCCACUGGCCAGGGUGACCAGCUACCCAGGCUGCCCUCCUAGAACUGGGGCCUGGCCACAGAACCCUGGGAAGACCCCUAAGGGGUUAAGUACCAGGGCCUCUGGGGCAUCUGGUCAAGGUCAUGUGCUGGUAGGAGGAGAAGGCACUUCAA